rnacentral:lncRNA from 1 species
AACCUUCGCGACACCACCACGCGCACGCGGCGCGAGGCACCACCAGGUCGAGCUCCGGCCACCGCACGCACGGGGGCGGCAGCUAGGUCCCAGCGAGCUCCGGUCGAUCACCGCGUGAAGACGGUGUCGUCCAUGGCGCGCGCGCUGUCCCGGACGGCGGUCCAUGUCGCGGCGCGGCCCGGCGGGAUCGGGAUCCUGGCCAGCNN